rnacentral:rRNA from 1 species
GACGAACGCUGGCGGCGUGCCUAAUACAUGCAAGUCGAGCGGAGUUGAUGAGGUGCUUGCACCUCUGAUGCUUAGCGGCGGACGGGUGAGUAACACGUAGGUAACCUGCCCGACAGACCGGGAUAACAGUCGGAAACGAUUGCUAAUACCGGAUACGCGAUUCUGUUGCAUGACGGAAUCGGGAAAGGCGGAGCAAUCUGCCACUGACGGAUGGACCUGCGGCGCAUUAGCUAGUUGGUGAGGUAACGGCUCACCAAGGCGACGAUGCGUAGCCGACCUGAGAGGGUGAGCGGCCACACUGGGACUGAGACACGGCCCAGACUCCUACGGGAGGCAGCAGUAGGGAAUCUUCCGCAAUGGGCGAAAGCCUGACGGAGCAACGCCGCGUGAGUGAUGAAGGUUUUCGGAUCGUAAAGCUCUGUUGCCAGGGAAGAACGGAUAGGAGAGUAACUGCUCCUGAUAUGACGGUACCUGAGAAGAAAGCCCCGGCUAACUACGUGCCAGCCGCCGCAGUAAAAC